rnacentral:rRNA from 1 species
AGUGAAGUGAAACAUCUCAGUAACUAGAGGAAAAGAAAUCAAACGAGAUUCUCUUAGUAGCGGCGAGCGAAAGGGGAAUAGGGCAAACCGAAUGCUUGCAUUCGGGGUUGAGGACUGCAAUAUCCACUAAAAUACUCUAAUAGAACAUUCUGGAAAGGAUAGCCAUAGAGGGUGAUAGUCCCGUAUAUGAAAGAGUAUUUUUAGGUAGCAGGAUCCAGAGUAGGUCAGGGCACGUGAAAUCCGGGCUGAAGCUGGGGGGACCACCCUCCAACCCUAAAUACUACUACUACACCGAUAGCGAACCAGUACCGUGAGGGAAAGGUGAAAAGAACCGCAGUGAGCGGAGUGAAAUAGAACCUGAAACCAUUUGCCUACAAUCAUUCAGAGCCCUAUGAUUUAUCAGGGUGAUGGACUGCCUUUUGCAUAAUGAUCCUGCGAGUUGUGGUAUCUGGCAAGGUUAAACUAAUGUGAAGCCGUAGCGAAAGCGAGUCUGAAAGGGCGAUUAAGUCAGAUGCUGCAGACCCGAAGCUGAGUGAUCUAUCCAUGGCCAAGUUGAAAGUGGGGUAACACCCACCGGAGGACUGAACUCGUACCCAUUGAAACGGGUUGGGAUGAGCUGUGGAUAGGGGUGAAAGGCCAAUCAAACUCAGUGAUAGCUGGUUCUCUUCGAAAUAUAUUUAGGUAUAGCCUCAAGUGAUAGUAAUAGGGGGUAGAGCUCUGAUUGGGCUAGGGCUGCUCACCGCGGUACCAACCCCUGUCAAACUACGAAUACCUAUUACCGUAUCUUGGGAGUCAGGCGGUGGGUGAUAAAAUCAAUCGUCUAAAGGGGAACAACCCAGACUACCAACUAAGGUCCCAAAGUUCUAUUCUAAGUGGAAAAAGAUGUGAAGUUACUUAGACAACCAGGAGGUUGGCUUAGAAGCAGCCAUCCUUUAAAGAUAGCGUAACAGCUCACUGGUCUAGUGAUUUUGCGCUGAAAAUAUAACGGGGCUAAGAUAGACACCGAAGUUGUAGAUUGUGCUGAUGCACAGUGGUAGAAGAGCGUUCACAUCAGCGUUGAAGCCAUACCGGUAAGGAGUGGUGGAGCGGUGUGAAGUGAGCAUGCAGGAAUGAGUAGCGAUAAAAGUGGUGAGAAUCCACUUCGCCGUAAAUCUAAGGUUUCCUACGCUAUGCUCGUCAUCGUAGGGUUAGUCGGGUCCUAAGACAAGUCCGAAAGGGGUAGUCGAUGGAAAAUUGGUUAAUAUUCCAAUACCAACAUUAGUGUGCGAUGGAGGGACGCAUAGGGUCAAGACAAGCUAGCCGAUAGAAAUGCUAGCCGAAGGGUGCAAGUUAGGAGAUUGGCAAAUCCGCUCCCGUAUCCCAAACCCAACAGGCUUUCUGAAGUCUUCGGGAUGGAUGAGAGAAUUGUUAAGAUCGUCGUGCCAAGAAAAGCUUCUAAGUUUAGCUAAUGUUGCCCGUACCGCAAACCGACACAGGUAGAUGAGAUGAGUAUUCUAAGGCGCGUGAAAGAACUCUCUUUAAGGAACUCUGCAAACUAACACCGUAAGUUCGCGAUAAGGUGUGCCUAAGUAAUUAGGUCUCAGCAAAGAGUCCCUCCCGACUGUUUACCAAAAACACAGCACUUUGCCAACUCGUAAGAGGAAGUAUAAGGUGUGACGCCUGCCCGGUGCUCGAAGGUUAAGAGGAUUAGUCAGCCGCAAGGCGAAGCUUUGAAUUGAAGCCCGAGUAAACGGCGGCCGUAACUAUAACGGUCCUAAGGUAGCGAAAUUCCUUGUCGGUUAAAUACCGACCUGCAUGAAUGGCGUAACGAGAUGGGAGCUGUCUCAAAGAGUGAUUCAGUGAAAUUGUAGUGGAGGUGAAAAUUCCUCCUACCCGCGGCAAGACGGAAAGACCCCGUGGACCUUUACUACAGCUUGGCACUGCCGAUGGGAGCAUUAUGCGCAGCAUAGGUGGGAGGCUAUGAAAUCUUUACUCUGGUAGAGAUGGAGCCAUCGUUGAGAUACCACCCUUAAUGUUUCUGUCUGCUAACUAGCUAGAGUUAUCCUCUAGUAGGACAAUGCCUGGUGGGUAGUUUGACUGGGGCGGUCGCCUCCUAAAAAGUAACGGAGGCUUGCAAAGGUUGGCUCAAAAUGGUUGGAAAUCAUUUGUAGAGUGUAAUGGCAUAAGCCAGCCUGACUGUAAGACAAACAAGUCAAGCAGAGACGAAAGUCGGUCAUAGUGAUCCGGUGAUUCUGUGUGGAAGGGUCAUCGCUCAAAGGAUAAAAGGUACCCCGGGGAUAACAGGCUGAUCUCCCCCAAGAGCUCACAUCGACGGGGAGGUUUGGCACCUCGAUGUCGGCUCAUCGCAUCCUGGGGCUGGAGCAGGUCCCAAGG